CCUACGGGUGGCAGCAGUGGGGGAUAUUGCACAAUGGGGGAAACCCUGAUGCAGCGACGCCGCGGGUGGGAAGACGGUCCUCUGGAUUGUAAACCACUGUCCCCAGGGACGAAAAUGACGGUACCUGGGGAGGAAGCUCCGGCUAACUACGUGCCCGCAGCCGCGGUAAUACGUAGGGAGCGAGCGUUGUCCGGAAUUACUGGGGGAAAAGGGGGCGUAGGCGGGGAUGCAAGUUGGGUGUAAAAAAGACCGGCUAAACUGGUAGUCGCACUCAAAAAGGCAGCUCGUGAGUGAAGUAGAGGCAGGCGGAAUUCCUAGUGUAGCGGUGAAAUGCGUAGAUAUUAGGAGGAACACCAGUGGCGAAGGCGGCCUGCUGGGCUUUUACUGACGCUGAGGCUCGAAAGUGUGGGGAGCAAACAGGAUUAGAGACCCCUGUAGUC
rnacentral:rRNA from 1 species